rnacentral:rRNA from 1 species
GACGAACGCUGGCGGCGUGCUUAACACAUGCAAGUCGAACGAUGAAGGAGAGAAUCGCGAACUUCGGUUCAAAUUUCACUUCGGAUUAGUGGCAGACGGGUGAGUAACGCGUGAGCAACCUACCUCUUACAAAGGGAUAGCCUCGGGAAACCGUGAUUAAUACCAUAUGACACAUUCAUAAGCCAUCUUAAGAAUGUUAAAGCUACGGCGGUAAGAGAUGGGUUCGCGUCCAGUUCGCUAGUUGGUGAGGUAACGGCCCACCAAAGUGACGAUGGGUAACCGACUUGAGAGGCUGAGCUGUCACUUUGGAACUGAGACACGGUCCAAACGCCUACGAGAGGCAGCAGUGGGGAAUAUUACACGAUGGAGGCAACUCUGAUGCAGCCACGCCGCGUGAGCGAUAAAGGAGUUCGUUUCGUAAAGCACUGUUCUAUGGGAAGAAAAGGACUGUACCAUAGGAGAGAGCCCCGGCUAAAUACGUG